AUGGGGUAUAAGGUCAUGAACCACGCUUCAGCCACUAAACUCAUGGAAUGGGACCUUCCCUGCUUUAGAUCUGACUACUCCUCCCCCAGCAACCACUACAAAUCAGCCUUGUCCAGAAAGACAAGCGGCACCACCAAUGUUAUUGGAGGACAAACUGGUACCAUCAGCCGGGUAGAGGAACAGAGACGUCACAAUAUAGAAGGAAAUAACAUCCAGGUGCUUUCCAAGCCAUCUGACGCUGAGCCUACUCCCACUAAGAUGCCCCCCUUCUUCCCCCUGCCUCCUUUCCCGCCUCCACCCUACAAUGUCAACUCUGCCCCUCCACUCAUUCCUCCACCACGGAUCCCCAUCAAUGUUCCUCCAACUGAUUGGACUCUUGGAAAGCCCUUUGUUAACAUAGAGCGAGUAUGGUAA
ensembl:lncRNA